GGGUAUGUGCCCUGAUUGGGAAUCAAACCUGCGAUCACUUGGUAUACAGGAAGACACUUCAACCAGCUGAGCCACACAGACCAGGGAAGAAACUCUGGCUCUGUUCUUCAUUCCUCUGUUGCCACUCACAGCAAAUCUCCAGACCCCAGGACCUCUUAUAUGACCACUGACUCUGUUAUUGCUGGAGCUGCUUUUGUUCUGACCUGAAUCACUGCAAUCACCUGCUAAUUAAUCUUUCUGUCUCUAGUCCCAUCACAUUUGAUCCAUCCUUGAAUCCGUGGUCAUAGUCAUCUCAAAAUACAAAUCUGGUAUCCUUCCCCUAAUCAACCCUUUUAAUAGCUUUCCCUUCACCCCUCAAAUCCAAACAUCUCAAAAUGGGGAAGAGGACCUCCAAGAGCAAUUCCUAGAAUAUCAGCAUCAGCAUUAGCACCAGCUGGGAACUUAAGAGAACCAUGAAUUCUCAGACCCCAGCCUAUAUGCACUGAAUCAGAAGCUCUGUCAGGGAGGUUGCUGCUGCAGCCUCACCUUCCCAGACUGUUGAACAAGCUCUCCAGGCAAUGCAUGCUAAAGUGCUGCAACUCCCACUAGACUGUGAGCUUGUUCAGAAGAGAGAUUGUCUUUCAUCUCUGACUCCCUGAGGCCUGGCUCACUGCCAUGCCAAGCCCAGAGAAGAGGCUCAGUAAUGACGUCCUGGUGGAGUAUCAAGCCUCUGCCUUUGCUGGGGUUUCUGGCCUACAGUGACAUUGUCAGCUGCCUGCAGCAGGAUUCUAAAGCAUCUACUGGAGAAUGGAAUCAGGUGCUCUAAGUUCCAUCCAUCUGGCAUUGACUAAGCACCUCAUCUGGGCAUGUCCCAGACAGACAUUAGUGAUACAGAAAUGAACUAAAAAGUCCGUUUCUACUAUAAGGGGCUCAGUCAGUGAGGGAGAUUCUAUGUAAACAGACAAUUACAGUAUUUGUUAUUUUUUUCUUGCUGUGUAACAAAUUGCCCCAAAUUUAGUGGUUUAAGUUUAGCUCACAGUUUUGUAUAUUCAGUGUGGCACAUCUUCUCAGUGUGCUACAAGGCUGAAAUCAAAGUUGUUGGCUGGAUUGAGCUCUUGUCUGGAAGCUCUGUGGGAAAAUCCAUUUCCAGGCUCAUCCUUGUUGGUUGCAGAAUUCAGUUCGUUGAGGCUGUAGGACUAGUGUUCUCAUUCUUAUGUUGGCUGUCAGCUGAAAACUGCUCUCAGCUCCUAGGUCCUUACAGCAACCCCUAAUCCAUCUUAGUAACAGAGAAACUCAUUGGGUUGAGUCCCUCUCAUACUUUGAUUCUCUGUGACUUCCUUUUUACCAACCAGCUGAAGAAAACUCUGCUUUUAAAGGGCUAUUGUGACUAUGUUAGGACUACCUGGUUAAUUUCCCUAUUUUAAGGUCAACUACAUAGCAUGCACACUAUAGCAUUGUGGGAAUAAAAUCAAUCAUAUUCACUCUCCCAGAGAUUAUGUAAAAUUUAUAUUGGGGUGGGGUGGGGGAAACCUUAGGAGACAUCUUAGAAUCCUGCCUAUCAUAUAAGAUGAGAUGUGCUAAGCAGGGAGGUAUCCACAAGGAAUGAUGGGAAUACAAGGGAGGGAGACUGAUCCUAGAUUUGGAAGUGUGGGAAGUCAGGGUAGUCUUUUUGGAGGGGUGUCACUUGCUCUAAAUUAAAGGCUGAGAACUUAGCAAGUGAGGAUCAGCCAAAAAAACCAUUCCAGCUAGAAGGAAUGACUUAUGUGGGGCAAGAGGUGUGGCACAGAACAUCACACUAGGAAAUAAUAAGUUUAAGGUUGUUAGA